GACGUCCAAUCUGAGGAGCUGGUGCAGGAGGAGGAGGGUAAGGAACCAGCAGUGGAGGAGGGGGAGGACUCUGGUGACAAUGAGGGGUCUGGGUCUGAAUCUGAGGGAAGCUCUGGAGGAGAGGAAGGCAAAAAGAAGGGAAAAGGAAGAGGCAAGAAUAAGGGCCGUGGCGGCGGCGGCGGUGGAGGUAAUGGCCGGGGUCAGGGUCACCGUCACAGUCACGGGGGUAAAAAGUGAAUUCUGACAAGUGUAGAGAUCCUCACCUUUCCCGUCUGUAAUUACAGAUAUGAAAUAUUAAAUACAUACAGACCCCAGAUCAACUAAUCCAGAAGAGACUAAGUCUGUCAUAUUGUUUAUUCAGGCAGUUUUGUAUAACCUCUGUAGUAAACUUAAUGACUCAUUCACACAAAACAGAUGCACAAGAACUCAAGGAUAUUUGCCAUGACUGUGUAAAGCAGCUUACAGGUAUGCAAUAACAGUUUGUUUUAGUUAUGUUGAAAUCUUUAAUUAUUGUUUUUUAUGGUCUUUGUUGUGUGUGUCCUUUUGACCAGGCUGUUACUGUAAACCUGUUCUCAACUGACUUGUCCAAGUUAAUGUGUGAGCUUUUUUAAUUCUUGGUAGACAAUGUGCUAUUUUGAUGUCUGAUUUCCAUUUUUUAAACGUGUCUAUGGACUGCAAGAAAUUACUGACCCACUAAAUAACCAUACCGUGUAAGGCAUGCAAAAUUCAUCUAUAAGAAUAAUUCAAAACCCAGCUACAUUUGUCAUUUUGACUGUAAUAGGGACACAAGCAAUUGUCAAAUAAAUUGUAUUUGCCAGUGAAAUAAUGCAUGUGUGU